rnacentral:rRNA from 1 species
UACAGGGGGGGCAAGCGUUGUUCGGAAUUACUGGGCGUAAAGGGUUCGUAGGUGGCCAACUAAGUCAGACGUGAAAUCCCUCAGCUUAACUGGGGAACUGCGUCCGAUACUGGAUGGCUUGGAUUUGGGAGAGGGAUGCGGAAUUCCAGGUGUAGCGGUGAAAUGCGUAGAUAUCUGGAGGAACACCGGUGGCGAAGGCGGCAUCCUGGACCAAUAUUGACGCUGAGGAGCGAAAGCUAGGGGAGCAAACGGG